GUAGGUGGCAAGCGUUGUCCGGAAUUAUUGGGCGUAAAGCGCGCGCAGGCGGUUCUUUAAGUCUGAUGUGAAAGCCCACGGCUCAACCGUGGAGGGUCAUUGGAAACUGGAGAACUUGAGUACAGAAGAGGAAAGCGGAAUUCCACGUGUAGCGGUGAAAUGCGUAGAGAUGUGGAGGAACACCAGUGGCGAAGGCGGCUUUCUGGUCUGUAACUGACGCUGAGGCGCGAAAGCGUGGGGAGCAAACAGGGAUUAGAUACCCUGGUAGUCCACGCCGUAAACGAUGAGUGCUAAGUGUUAGGGGGUUUCCCGCCCCUUAGUGCUGCAGCUAACGCAUUAAGCACUCCGCCUGGGGAGUACGGCCGCAAAGGCUG
rnacentral:rRNA from 1 species